GUCCACGCUGUAACGAUGGGCACUAGGUGUCGCGGGUAUUGACCCUGCGGUGCCGCAGCUAACGCAUUAAGUGCCCGCCUGGGACUACGGCCGCAAGGUUAAACUCAAGGAAUUGACGGGCCCGCACAAGCGGUGGAGCAUGUGGUUCAAUUCGACGCAACGCGAAGAACCUUACCCGGGCUAGACAACAGAGGGCCGUCUUAGAAUAAGGCUUUCCCUUCGGGGACCUCUGGUUCAGGUGCUGCAUGGCUGUCGU
rnacentral:rRNA from 1 species